CCAGACUCCUACGGGAGGCAGCAGUGGGGAAUAUUGCACAAUGGGGGAAACCCUGAUGCAGCGACGCCGCGUGAGUGAAGAAGUAUUUCGGUAUGUAAAGCUCUAUCAGCAGGGAAGAAAAUGACGGUACCUGACUAAGAAGCCCCGGCUAACUACGUGCCAGCAGCCGCGGUAAUACGUAGGGGGCAAGCGUUAUCCGGAUUUACUGGGUGUAAAGGGAGCGUAGACGGCAGUGCAAGGCUGGAGUGAAAGGGGGGGGCUCAACCCCCGGACUGCUCUGGAAACUGUACGGCUGGAGUGCAGGAGAGGUAAGUGGAAUUCCUAGUGUAGCGGUGAAAUGCGUAGAUAUUAGGAGGAACACCAGUGGCGAAGGCGGCUUACUGGACUGUAACUGACGUUGAGGCUCGAAAGCGUGGCGAGCAAACAGGAUUAGAUCCCCCCGUA
rnacentral:rRNA from 1 species